AGACAGAGGGUGCAAACGUUGUUCGGAAUUACUGGGCAUAAAGAGCACGUAGGCGGCUCGUUUAGUCACACGUGAAAUCCCCCGGCUCAACCGGGGAACUGCGUGCGAUACUGGCGGGCUCGAGGUCGGUAGGGGUGAGCGGAACUCCAGGUGGAGCGGUGAAAUGCGUAGAUAUCUGGAGGAACACCGGUGGCGAAGGCGGCUCACUGGACCGAAACUGACGCUGAGGUGCGAAAGCUAGGGUAGCAAACGGGAUUAGAAACCCCAGUAGUCC
rnacentral:rRNA from 1 species